rnacentral:rRNA from 2 species
UGAGGAAUAUUGGUCAAUGGCCGCAGGGCUGAACCAGCCAAGUCGCGUGAGGGAUGACGGUCCUAUGGAUUGUAAACCUCUUUUGUCAGGGAGCAAAGGGCGCCACGUGUGGCGUUUUGCGAGUACCUGAAGAAAAAGCAUCGGCUAACUCCGUGCCAGCAGCCGCGGUAAUACGGAGGAUGCGAGCGUUAUCCGGAUUUAUUGGGUUUAAAGGGUGCGCAGGCGGAAUGUCAAGUCAGCGGUAAAAUUUCGGGGCUCAACCCCGUCGUGCCGUUGAAACUGGCGUUCUUGAGUGAGCGAGAAGUAUGCGGAAUGCGUGGUGUAGCGGUGAAAUGCAUAGAUAUCACGCAGAACUCCGAUUGCGAAGGCAGCAUACCGGCGCUCAACUGACGCUCAUGCACGAAAGCGUGGGUAUCGAACAGG